UACGAAGGGGGGCUAGCGUUGUUCGGAUUUACUGGGCGUAAAAGCGCACGUAGGCGGAUCGAUCAGUCAGGGGGUGAAAUCCCCAGAGCUCAACUCUGGAACUGCCUUUUGAUACUGUCGAUCUGGAGUAUGGAAGAGGUGAGUGGAAUUCCGAGUGUAGAGGUGAAAUUCGUAGAUAUUCGCAAGAACACCGGUGGCGAAGGCGGCCAACUGGACCAUUACUGACGCUGAGGCGCGAAAAGCAAGGGGGAUC
rnacentral:rRNA from 1 species